rnacentral:rRNA from 1 species
UGGGGAAUAUUGGGGCAAUGGGGCGAAAGCCUGACCCAGCAACGCCGCGUGAAGGAAGAAGGUCUUCGGAUUGUAAACUUCUUUUAUGAGGGACGAAGGACGUGACGGUACCUCAUGAAUAAGCCACGGCUAACUACGUGCCAGCAGCCGCGGUAAUACGUAGGUGGCAAGCGUUAUCCGGAUUUAUUGGGUGUAAAGGGUGAGUAGGCGGGCUGACAAGUCAGAUGUGAAAUGUUCGGGCUUAACCUGAGAACUGCAUUUGAAACUGCCAGUCUUGAGUGUCGGAGGGGUAAUCGGAAUUCCCGGUGUAGCGGUGAAAUGCGUAGAGAUCGGGAGGAACACCAGUGGCGAAGGCGGAUUACUGGACGACAACUGACGCUGAUACACGAAAGCGUGGGGAGCAAACAGGAUUAGAUACCCUGGUAGU